GCCGAGAGGGCGAGGAAUACAACACCCGCAAGGGGAAUAACUCCAGCCUACUUACUAGGGCUUUCGAACCUCUUGGCACCCUUAU
rnacentral:ncRNA from 1 species